rnacentral:rRNA from 1 species
UGUGGUUAGGGGUGAAAGGCCAAUCAAACCGGGUAAUAGCUGGUUCUCCGCGAAAACUAUUUAGGUAGUGCGUCACGUAUUACCGCCGGGGGUAGAGCACUGGAUGGGCUAGGGGGUCCCAACGACUUACCAAACCUAACCAAACUCCGAAUACCGGUGAGUACAGCGUGGCAGACAGACUGUGGGUGCUAAGGUCCAUGGUCGAAAGGGAAACAGCCCAGACCGCCAGCUAAGGUCCCUAAGUCAUGGCUAAGUGGGAAAGGAUGUGGGAAGGCCAAGACAACCAGGAGGUUGGCUUAGAAGCAGCCACCCUUUAAAGAAAGCGUAAUAGCUCACUAGUCGAGUCGGCCUGCGCGGAAGAUGUAACGGGGCUAAGCAAUAUACCGAAGCUGCGGAUGUGCAUUUAUUUGUACAUGGUAGGGGAGCGUUGUGUAAGUGGUUGAAGGUGAGCUGUGAGGCUUGCUGGACAUAUCACAAGUGCGAAUGCUGACAUGAGUAACGAUAAUGGGGGUGAAAAACCCCCACGCCGGAAGACCAAGGUUUCCUGUCCCAUGCUAAUCAGGGCAGGGUAAGUCGGCCCCUAAGGCGAGGCAGAAAUGCGUAGUCGAUGGGAAACGGAUUAAUAUUUCCGUACUUGGUAUAUCAGUGAAGGGGGGACGGAGAAGGCUAAGCAAGCUUGGUGUUGGUUAUCCAAGUGAAAGUGUGUAGGGCGUUGAAUUAGGUAAAUCCGGUUCAACACUAACCUGAGACACGAGACGAGUUUCUAAGGAAACGAAGUUGUUGAUGCCAUGCUUCCAGGAAAAGCCUCUAAACUUAUGAUAUAUCGAACCGUACCCCAAACCGACACAGGUGGUCAGGUAGAGAAUACCAAGGCGCUUGAGAGAACUAUGUUGAAGGAACUCGGCAAAUUACCUCCGUAACUUCGGGAGAAGGAGGCCUCAAUCUGGGCAACCAGGUCUGAGGGGCACAAAACUGGGGGUUGCGACUGUUUAUCAAAAACACAGGGCUCUGCGAAGCCGUAAGGCGACGUAUAGGGUCUGACGCCUGCCCGGUGCCGGAAGGUUAAAAGGAGGAGUGAGAGCUCCGAAUUGAAGCCCCGGUAAACGGCGGCCGUAACAAUAACGG